GGUUAAGUUAAUAAGGGCGCAUGGUGGAUGCCUUGGCACUAGAAGGCGAUGAAGGACGUGACUAACUACGAUAUGCCUCGGUUAGCUGUAAGUAAGCUUACCCGGGGGUUUCCGAAUGGGGCAACCCGAUCUUAAUGAUCAUCAUCUUUUUGAAUUCAUAGAUUAGAUGAAGCAAACGCUGUGAACUGAAAC
rnacentral:rRNA from 1 species